UNAAAGAGAUAGGAGUUGAACCUACG
rnacentral:tRNA from 1 species